rnacentral:rRNA from 1 species
UACGUAGGGGGCGAGCGUUGUCCGGAUUUAUUGGGCGUAAAGAGCUCGUAGGCGGCUGUUCAAGUCGAACGUGAAAACUCGGAGCUCAACUCCGAGCCUGCGUUCGAUACUGGGCGGCUAGAGUCUGGUAGGGGGACCUGGAAUUCCUGGUGUAGCGGUGAAAUGCGCAGAUAUCAGGAAGAACACCCGUGGCGAAGGCGGGCCUGCUCUGGGACGGUAUCGUGAC